CAGUAGCCGCGGUAAUACGUAGGGUGCGAGCGUUAAUCGGAAUUACUGAGCGUAAAGCGUGCGCAGGCGGUUGUGUAAGACAGGUGUGAAAUCCCCGGGCUCAACCUGGGAACUGCAUUUGUGACUGGCAAGCUAGAGUGUGGCAGAGGGGGGUGGAAUUCCGCGUGUAGCAGUGAAAUGCGUAGAUAUGCGGAGGAACACCGAUGGCGAAGGCAGCCCCCUGGGCCAACACUGACGCUCAUGCACGAAAGCGUGGGGAGCAAACAGGAUUAGAUACCCGCGUAGUCCCUGUCUCUUAUAA
rnacentral:rRNA from 1 species